AUAAUAUUUUCUUUUUUUUUUCUCUCCAUCUCAAAUAAAGAACACCAGAAAGAGUAUCUUCAACAUUUAGAAGGUCUUGUCUUCUUCAAAGUUAUUACUAUGGACAAAGACUUCGAAUGAGCUUAUAGCUCAAUGUGUGCAAGAAGAGGAUAGAAUUAAAGAAGAACCGAUGGAAUGUGCUCAUUGGGAUCUACUUCUAGAAUUAAAAAUAUUGCACAUAAGUGGAAAAGGAGGACAACUAAAGAAACUACAAAGAAAGAAAUAUCAUUAUGUUUCUUGUGUAAGAAACUUGGUCACAUAAAGAAAGAGUGUAUCAAGUAUGUUGCCUUGCGUGAAAAGAAAGGUGCAAUUACUCACGUAAGUGUCACUAUACAAGAUUGCAUAACGAGCCGAGUUUUGGUUGAUGUUGAAAGAUACAUCUAUGUAGCCAAUGACAAUAAAGCAAUUGUGGAGACUAUUGGUGUCUUUAAAAUUCUAUUGGAUACCGAUUUCUAUUUGAAAUUAGAGAAAACAUUUAUUGUACUGUCAUUUAGAUGAAACUUAAUUUUCAUUUCCUGUUUUGACAUAUCUGGAUACAAUUGUUCUAUUGAAAAUAGAAUUUGUAAUAUUUUCUAAAUUUUAAUAUUAUUGAAACUGAUACUUUGAUUGA